AUUAUUUUUUUUUUCUUCUGCCGUCUGAGAUGCUUUUUUGUCUUACAACAUAUCGAAUGGAUUUUUUGGCCAAUGAUGUUGUACAGUAAUGGAGGUUUCAAAACUCACCCUGAGUGACCGAACACUUAUUCUUAUAAGAGUUAUCUCCCCGCGUCCCCUUUUUCUUGUUAUCGCUAUAUCUCUAAAACCGUAAAAGAUUUUAGCAAACUGUUUUCACCAAAUUGUUUGUCUACUCUUGAGAAUGAUUUGG
rnacentral:lncRNA from 1 species